AACGAACGUUGGCGGCGUGGAUUAGGCAUGCAAGUCGAACGAAUCCCAUCUGGGUAACUGGGUGGGGGAAGUGGCGAAAGGGGCGAGUAAGGCAUGGGUAACCUGCCCCGGGGACUGGGGAUAGCCCUCCUAACGGAGGGGUAAUACCCAGCGACCUGGCGAGGGGGCGAUCCUCUUGCCAGCAAAGGAAUUUCGCCCCGGGAGGGGCCCAUGUGGUAUUAGCUUGUUGGUGAGGUAACGGCUCACCAAGGCCAAGAUGCCUAGCAGGUGUGAGAGCACGACCUGCGCCACUGGCACUGUGACACUGGCCAGACUCCUACGGGAGGCUGCAGUCGAGAUCUUCGGCAAUGGGCNCAAGCCUGACCGAGCGACGCCGCGUGUGCGAUGAAGG
rnacentral:rRNA from 1 species